rnacentral:lncRNA from 1 species
AUGUGUUGAAGUACCUCAAAUAAAUGAGCAAUCAGAGAACCACAGGAUUUGCAAGAUAAAGUGGGUGCUUACCUGUUUGGUUUGCCAUCUGCUUUACUUUGGACCAAAUACCAGUGUAUUCAGUCCAAAACAACAGUGUGUAUUUCUUUUAUUAUCUGUGCUGCCUGGUUCAUAUUUAAUCAGAUUUUUGUUAUUUUAUUACAGCUCUUUACUGAUAUGAAUUAGGUAAUUAAAAGUCCUCUAGAAAAAAUUUAACACCUGUUCUGUGCCUUAAAUAUUGCUCACAAAACUCAGAAAGCUGUGAAACUUUAUUUUACCGAACAGAUCAUUAUUAUUGUAAUGUGAAGUGUUACACAUUCUUUGCACUUCUGUUUUCUGAGGAAGCUGUUGAAGUCUGAGGGAAAGCUGGCUGCUGCUGGCUCUAAUUGUUACAAAUUAUGUAAAAAUUAUUCCAGAAACAGAAAGGAAAAAUCCUUUUUUUUUUUUUUCCUUAUUUAUUUAUUUAUGUGUGUGAAAGUGAUGUUUCCAUGUUUAAACAAAGAGUUGUUAGUGACUAGUUUUUAAACUGAUAAUUUCAAUUGGCUUUACUCCAUCAACCACAAGGAAAACACCUGGUGACUGCUUAAUCCCAGCCAACACUUGUUAACCUUUUGGCCUUCACGGCAACUAUCAGCAGGCACUAAGUCAGUGGUACUAAUAAACUGGCAUUAAAACUUCCACCUGCUAAUAACAUCUUAUUGCUUUUCAGUAUUAAAUAAAAGGAAAUGAUCUGUUUAAUUACAGUCAAAGAAAUUUUGCAAUGCUAUGCUGCCUUGGAUGGUGGUAAUAAUAAUGGAAUGUAUCGAGGGUCGUGGCUACAUGGACUGAUGGCUAUAAAGGGGAUGAUUUCCAGCGAGCAGAGUCAUUGCAUGAUGCACAUCUUGUUGCUAAAGAUCAUCAGGUUAUGACAGGUAAGUCAAACAAACAUUAUGAUUUACCGACAUCUGCAAGUGUUCUAAAUAAGUUGUCUCCAUUUUGCAGGGUUAGCUGUGUGCCUGUGGCUUAAUGAAGUUUUUAAUUGUUUCAGUCAAUAUCAGUGAACUAAGAUAUACUACUCUGAACAGUGCUCCGGUGUGUGGUCUCUUAGUCUGCUGAUUUCAGUAAAACAAACAAACAAACAAAAAAAACCUGCAAGUCUGUGCAUUUUUGUGUGACUCAUUUUAGGAAAUCAGUUAUACAGUUGUUGUUUUGCAUGACACAUCCUCUCAUAUUUAUGUUUCAUUUGUGAGAAAACUUCUUGUUUGCCUGUAUGGCCACAUGCCCUCCUUCUUAGCCCUA